UACGAAGGGGGCUAGCGUUGCUUGGAAUCACUGGGCGUAAAGGGUGCGUAGGCGGGUCUUUAAGUCAGGGGUGAAAUCCUGGAGCUCAACUCCAGAACUGCCUUUGAUACUGAGGAUCUUGAGUUCGGGAGAGGUGAGUGGAACUGCGAGUGUAGAGGUGAAAUGCGUAGAUAUCGUAAGGAAGACCAGUGGCGAAGGCGGGUCUCUGGACGGUUCCUGACGCUGAGGAGCGAAAGCGUGGGGAGCGAACAGG
rnacentral:rRNA from 1 species